GGAACCUACGGAAAAGAAUGAAGUCGUUCACCUGGCUGAACUUGAACUCACCUGACACUUAAUAAGGUGACAAAGUGCAUUUCAGCUUUAACGUGGUGCAAAGUACAAACGUGCCUGAAAGUAGCCCACGUUUUUGUCUUUUGAGUAAACAAAGCGAUGCGGCACGUGAUUUGUCCAGUGGAUUCCAGAAGAUGGCUGGGGGACUGAUGAUACAACGCACGGCGGCGUGCGUCUGCAUUUGCAGCCGGAUCUUGACCAAGUCGAUGGGGGCGCCCAACCCGACCGACACCAGGCCGGUCAGCAUGCUGGCCACCGCCACGUCGCUCAGGCUGGCGGGGUGGCGCUCGUCGCCGUAGCGACGCUUGCAGAUGACUCUCUGCGAGUUGCUGUAGAAACCAAAGACCAGCGAGUUGUACGCCGUGAUGGUGGCCAGGGGGAAGGACAUGCCUUUGAAGAAGCCCCACGCCUGACCGAAUUACAACAUAAACACGGUGUUCAUGGCAACACUCAUAAUACAUUCACCAAUGUAUAAAAAAGAUAGAAAUAAAUAAGUCCAUUGAAUUUAACCAACUUGAAGGAAGUAAAAAUGGCAAACUAUGCCAUUAUUGUGACAAAUGAAAAGGUCAAACGCAAAACAACUCUCCUUUACACCAGAAGACUUUGGCAAUGAACUCAUCCUCAAACAUCCCAACUUAAAUGAUCAAUUUUGAAGGAAGGCGUGUCGUGCCAUUUUCAUACCGUCUCCUUCCUGUAGAUGGUGAUAAUGCAGUCCAUCAUGUUCUUGUAGCCUUUUCCAGCCUGCAAUCGCGUCUGCCAAAUCCAAUGGCACUCAGUCAGCAUGUGCAAAUUGCUAUGUUUUUUUGAAGACAAAGAAAACUUUAAAAUUUGUUUUUUUUUUUUACCUUGACAGUGUCCAAAGGAUGUCCAACCACCACACUGGACGCCCCUGCACAAACACAUGAACACAGCUACUCAGAAAGAGAUGAAAUAAGGCUAAUUCUAUGAAUGAAAUAUCAACAAUCACAUCCACCUAUCUUUAUUGAGCAAUUUUGAGAAAUAGGCAAAGUUCAUAUUUGACAAUAAUGUUAUUUCAGGGCCCCAACACGGCCCUGAUUGACCUCAAACUAUGAAUAACAACAUGGCAAGUGCGCCCCUAUGGGCCACACAUGCACAAUCAUGUGCACUCAUAUAUUACAGGCACUAUAUUUAGCCAACUUAAACGAUGAGAAAUAAUUAACUAUAAUGCAGAUUGUGACAAAUACACACUAGUAGAUAAAAUAAACAAAUAGUGUUCAGGUACACAAAUGAUUUAAGUGUAGCCCAUAUUUUAACAUUUUAACACACAGAGACACACACACAUUAAAGUGACGGUAAAGCGAAGAUGGUCAAUUUUUCACUAACUAGCCCAGUUUAUUUAUUUAUUUUUUAUCAGGAGAAUAAAAAAUAAACACACACAAACUCAUGAAUGUAGUCUGCAUCAUAUUGAGGCGCUAUUUGUCCCUAAUAUUUUGACCUGAUGGCACGCACUAGCCCGCACACACACACACACACACUUGCACACAAGGAAAUAUACUCACUGACCUCCAACCCAUCCUGCAAGAAAAUCAUCCAUGCGGAAGCUCUUGGAACUCAUUUUUAUAUUUUCACUCUUCAAACUUCAUCUGUGAGCACACUCACAAGUUUGUAUAGCACAGUUCGCAGGUCGUCGCGUGUGUACGUUUGUGUUGUGAAUGCACCAAGAAGCAACACGACCCUUUGAUUGCAAAGCGCGCAGCCCUCCGCCGGGCCGACGACCAAUGAGAGCGCGAUCAAGGCUCUCCCGGCCAAUCGUGCGCCAUCUGGUCCAAGUUGCCAGCCAAUUGACGCGCGAUGCACAAAUGAGCCAUGAGGGAGCCAAGCCAGCGAAAAUACGAGAUAGUUGAAGAUUGUUUUGUAUUCUUAAUAACAUACCAGAUCCAAUAGUAAGAUCCAAUAUAAACUAUAAUGAAAGUACUUCAUUUUAAAAAAUAGUAUAAAAGCCUUUGGAUUUAAAAGCUAUCAUAUUGAACAUACCAGAUCCAAUAGUAAGAUCCAAUAUAAACUAUAAUGAAAGUACUUCAUUUUUAAAAUAGUAUAAAAGCCUUUGGAUUUAAAAGCUAUCAUAUUUAACAGACGUGAGUUAUUGAUUGUUUUCGGCAAUCUGACCCCAAUCGACUGUUUUAUGUGGACAAAUGUAACCAAAACAGAAAGAGAGAGCGAGACCGCAUUACACAAGAAAGGCAAAGUCAAGCAGAGGAGAAACAUUUGCUAGUUGUUCUUGUUUGUAUUUCUUCUCUUCUGCGUCAAAUGAAGUUCUGAAUUCUCAA